CACGUAGGGGGCGAGCGUUGUCCGGAUUUAUUGGGCGUAAAGAGCUCGUAGGCGGCUCAGUAAGUCAGGUGUGAAAACUCCAGGCUCAACCUGGGGACGCCACUUGAUACUGCUGUGGCUAGAGUCCGGUAGGGGAGCAUGGAAUUCCUGGUGUAGCGGUGAAAUGUGUAGAGAUCGGGAGGAACACCGGUGGCGAAGGCGGGUCUCUGGGCAUCUCCUGACGCUGAGGCGCGAAAGCGUGGGGAGCAAACGGG
rnacentral:rRNA from 1 species